UCCUCCGUGGUGUAAUCGUGCAGCACAACAGUCUCUUAAUCUGUUAGGUCAGGGUUCGAAUCCCUGCGGGGGGACCA
rnacentral:tRNA from 1 species